GCUAGUCAAGGUUUUUAAUUAUAAAGGUUCGUAUGUAUUUAGAAGUUUUAUAAUCAGUUUGUAAACCGUGCAUAUAAUUGUGAGUGUAAGGUUGUAGGUAUAUAGAUAUCAAUGGUUACUGUAUAUAUACAACAUAUGAACUGUACAUUAUAUUACAUAAGGAUUGUUGGACCUGACCAUGUUUCCCGUGACCAUGUUCAUGUGGUAUGAUUUGAAGUGUAUUUAAUCCGUAUGGUUGAACAUUUAGGUUCUGUUUGGGCAUCUGGUCACAUUUAUGGCUUGAUUCUGCUAAGGACAAGUAUUUUUGUAAAAAAAAUUAUUCUAUACUUAUGUCAGCAGGAUGCCCAGGAUGCCAGAUUUGAUAUGUGACUGGUUAAGGUCAUGUAGUUUUCACAGGAGAGUGCCACAGGGUUUGCUUGUCAUGUGUUGGUUCUUGCAUGUUCUCACUUAUAACCCAGUGUGUCCCAGUAAGUUCUUUGGUUUGUUAUAUCCACUCUUGUGUUUUCAAGGUGGUAUUCAGACACAAUGUUAAUUGGGAGUGGUUAAAAAUUUUUUUGUAUCUCUGUGUUCAGGGUGGUGUGGAGGUUUCUGGCUGAUUUAGGUUAGGUUUGGGGUUGAUGGGAGGCUUGGGGGAUUUGGGUUAUGGGAUGUUAUUAUGUUUGGUUAGUGUUGUGUCUGGUAUUAAGUUUUGCUGGGAUAAGUGUGUCUCUCAGGUUAGUAUUACGUUGGUAGGCUACAAUUGGAGGUUCUUGCCAUAGACUCCUCAGUGUGGGGUCAUUCUCCAAUAUGUUCCAGUGUUUACGUAGGAUAUUUGCAAUGUAUUUUGUGUUUGUGUUGUAUGGAAUGGAGAAAAUUGGGUGGCUUGUGUUUUUUUGGUUUUGUUUCCUAUUGAGUAGGUCUGUUUGAGUGUAUUGUAGGGCUUUGUUGAAGUUAGUGGUGAUGGUGUCAUGGUCAUAUCCGCGAUGGAUCAGUGCAAUAAGGAGGUGGUUUAGUCGUUGUUGUAAUUUGUUGUUGUCUGUAAUAAUGCGUCUGUAUCGUAGUGCCUGACUGUAGAUGACUGCAUUCUUGCAUGUGGUGGGGUGAAAUGAGCUUUUGUGUUGUAGAAGGGUUUUGUCAGUUUGUUUAAUGUACAGGUCUGAUUCCAGUUUGUUGUUUUUGUUUUUGUAGAUAGUUGUGUCAAGGAAGUUGACACAUUCCUCAGAAAAGGAGAAGUCAAAUUUAAUGGUAUAAGAUUUUCAGGAGCUUGUUGGAGGAGCUCCUGUUCAAGUGCUGCCAUGAAUAUGUUUGCAUAGGGGUAAUUUUGUUGAUUUCUUUCAACAUGUCUACACAGGCUUGGAUGCCUUGAUCAUUAGAAAAGAGUCAUAUAUGGUCUUGUAUGGUGUGUGUUUGGGUGUCGGGACAAAGAAAGUUGAGUGAAUUACGGGAAAAGACGCAAGAAGAAAUCAACUACCUCGCUUCUCAGCUGCAGGGUAUGCGAAAUGAAAAUAAGAAUCUGUCGGAGCAGGUGACAUUGCAGCUAUGUCUAUAACCUCUGCAAGUUGUUUUAUAGCACUUGCGAUUCAUUAGAGGUUAAUUUUAAACAGAUCUUACAACAAUUGGCAUGUUUCGAACAGUGACUUAAAGAUGCGUCCGAUUGUAAGUUGGUUAAUGCGCAGUUAGAAAGAGAGAUUCACAGUUUCACAGAAGUUCAAAGGUAUCGUCAAACAUCACAUGUAACACGUGCCCGGUUGUACGAAAGCUCGAAAUCGUUUUGCAUGCAUUCAUAAGGACUUGUCAUCUGUCUUGAGUAUGUUCCAGAAUUAUAAAGUCAUCGCAUUUUGAGAUUUGAGUAUCGCCUGUACUUGCAAAGCGUUUUCUCUUGCUUGUUUCUCGCUAUAUAUCCAAGAGAUGCUUUUUCCUACCUAUUUUAGAAAAAAUAGGUACGCAAUGCGUACAUGUGGGUAGCCUCGAAAACAUUUGCAAAUCAUUGCCUGCGAUAAAGCUAUGGUUUGGCAAAAAAAUUCAAGUUUGAUUCAAUGUCAAACUCCAGGCUGCUAUA